rnacentral:rRNA from 1 species
GACGAACGCUGGCGGCGUGCCUAAUACAUGCAAGUCGAGCGGACUUACAAAGCUUGCUUUUUAAGUUAGCGGCGGACGGGUGAGUAACACGUGGGCAACCUGCCUGUAAGACUGGGAUAACUUCGGGAAACCGGAGCUAAUACCGGAUAAUCCUUUUCUACUCAUGUAGAAAAGCUGAAAGACGGUUUACGCUGUCACUUACAGAUGGGCCCGCGGCGCAUUAGCUAGUUGGUGAGGUAACGGCUCACCAAGGCGACGAUGCGUAGCCGACCUGAGAGGGUGAUCGGCCACACUGGGACUGAGACACGGCCCAGACCCCUACGGGAGGCAGCAGUAGGGAAUCUUCCGCAAUGGACGAAAGUCUGACGGAGCAACGCCGCGUGAGUGAUGAAGGUUUUCGGAUCGUAAAACUCUGUUGUUAGGGAAGAACAAGUACGAGAGUAACUGCUCGUACCUUGACGGUACCUAACCAGAAAGCCACGGCUAACUACGUG